UACGUAGGGGGCAAGCGUUGUCCGGAUUUAUUGGGCGUAAAGAGCUCGUAGGCGGCUCACUAAGUCGGAUGUGAAAACUCUAGGCUCAACCUAGAGACGCCACCUGAUACUGCUGUGGCUAGAGUCCGGUAGGGGGGCAUGGAAUUCCUGGUGUAGCGGUGAAAUGCGCAGAUAUCAGGAGGAACACCAGUGGCGAAGGCGGUGCUCUGGGCCGGAACUGACGCUGAGGAGCGAAAGCGUGGGGAGCAAACAGG
rnacentral:rRNA from 1 species